GCGGGAAUAGUUUAGCGGUAGAGCGGCGGCUUCCCAAGCCGCAAGUCGCGGGUUCGAAUCCCGUUUCCCGCU
rnacentral:tRNA from 1 species